GACGAACGCUGGCGGCGUGCCUAAUACAUGCAAGUCGAGCGAACAGAGAAGGAGCUUGCUCCUUCGACGUUAGCGGCGGACGGGUGAGUAACACGUGGGCAACCUACCUUAUAGUUUGGGAUAACUCCGGGAAACCGGGGCUAAUACCGAAUAAUCUGUUUCACCUCAUGGUGAAACACUGAAAGACGGUUUCGGCUGUCGCUAUAGGAUGGGCCCGCGGCGCAUUAGCUAGUUGGUGAGGUAACGGCUCACCAAGGCGACGAUGCGUAGCCGGCCUAAGAGGGUGAUCUGCCACACUGGGACUGAGACACGGCCCAGACUCCUACGGGAGGCAGCAGUAGGGAAUCUUCCACAAUGGGCGAAGGCCUGAUGGAGCAACGCCGCGUGAGUGAAGAAGGAUUUCGGUUCGUAAAACUCUGUUGUAAGGGAAGAACAAGUACAGUAGUAACUGGCUGUACCUUGACGGUACCUUAUUAGAAAGCCACGGCUAACUACGUGCCAGCCGCCGCAGUAA
rnacentral:rRNA from 1 species